GGUGAGUAACACGUGGGUAACCUACCUAUAAGACUGGGAUAACUCCGGGAAACCGGGGCUAAUACCGGAUAAUAUUUUGAACCGCAUGGUUCAAUAGUGAAAGACGGUUUCGGCUGUCACUUAUAGAUGGACCCGCGCCGUAUUAGCUAGUUGGUAAGGUAACGGCUUACCAAGGCGACGAUACGUAGCCGACCUGAGAGGGUGAUCGGCCACACUGGAACUGAGACACGGUCCAGACUCCUACGGGAGGCAGCAGUAGGGAAUCUUCCGCAAUGGGCGAAAGCCUGACGGAGCAACGCCGCGUGAGUGAUGAAGGUCUUCGGAUCGUAAAACUCUGUUGUUAGGGAAGAACAAAUUUGUUAGUAACUGAACAAGUCUUGACGGUACCUAACCAGAAAGCCACGGCUAACUACGUGCCAGCAGCCGCGGUAAUACGUAGGUGGCAAGCGUUAUCCGGAAUUAUUGGGCGUAAAGCGCGCGUAGGCGGUUUCUUAAGUCUGAUGUGAAAGCCCACGGCUCAACCGUGGAGGGUCAUUGGAAACUGGGAAACUUGAGUGCAGAAGAGGAGAGUGGAAUUCCAUGUGUAGCGGUGAAAUGCGCAGAGAUAUGGAGGAACACCAGUGGCGAAGGCGGCUCUCUGGUCUGUAACUGACGCUGAUGUGCGAAAGCGUGGGGAUCAAACAGGAUUAGAUACCCUGGUAGUCCACGCCGUAAACGAUGAGUGCUAAGUGUUAGGGGGUUUCCGCCCCU
rnacentral:rRNA from 2 species